CCCCAUAGGCCUGAUCCAAAGCCUACUGAAUUGAAUGCAAGCCUUUCCAUUGAUUUCAACAGGCUUUGGAUCAGGCCCUAAUUGA
rnacentral:pre_miRNA from 1 species